CCCUGGGAGGAGCCUCCAGGGGCUGCUCUGCAGUUGGCGGAGGCUUGGAGACACCCCUUGGCCCAGGGAGGUCACAGGCCAGGUUAAGGUUGGUGACAGCUGGCAGCAGUGCCACCAGGUCUCUGCGUCUGUUGUCUUGUGGUGCUCCUUCUCUGCAUUCAUCUGUGUCCCAACCUCCCCACUUCAAGAGGACCAGUCAUAUCAGGUGUGAAGCGAAACAAGCUCCCUAUCCUGUGGUGUCUUGGAUUUCCUUUUCCGUGGGCCACCUGCCAUCUGUCCAUUGCACCACUCUUCUGGACGCAG